rnacentral:misc_RNA from 1 species
UUCCCCCGGGGCAUUCCCCGCCGAAGCCUUUCGCGGCGACUUUUAAACAAUCGCGCAGUUCGGGUGGUUUCUUCCACCUGGGCAACGCCGUCACUGUGCUGGAAGUAUGCCUCAUGGCGACAACCAGCGGCCGACUCCCCACCGGGGCGUCGGUUCACAGAUCAAACGAUGGUGGCCGCCCCCAAGGCGGUUUAGAUAUGACCGAGCCCAGCCGUUUGCAUGGCUGCGAUAGCUGUUCCGUAGGUGAACC